rnacentral:rRNA from 1 species
AUGGCUACAAUACAACACAGGAACAAUUCCAUUACUAGCCUGAUUACACAUGAUGGUGUGGAAGUUUUUGACCAUGAUGGCAAAUCAAAGCUCUUGCAUGAAGCUUUCAAGGAAAGGCUUGGUCAAUCUGAAAAUUUUGACAUCCCCGAUCAUCUACUUCACUUACUUCCCACUCAUCAUGAUCUCUCAUUUCUUGAGGUCCCAUUUACCAAAGACGAAAUUGAUGCGGUUAUCAAAGACCUAGCAACAAAUAAGGCACCUGGGCCUGACGGGUUUAAUACUGAUUUCAUCCGAAAAUGUUGGCCUAUUUUACAACAAGACUUCUAUGAUCUAUGUGCACAAUUUCAGCAAGGGAACCUCUGUUUGCAGAGUAUCAAUAGCUCCUUCAUCACUCUUAUCCCUAAAAAGGUAGGUGCAAAUACUGUGAAUGACUACAGGCCUAUUUCCCUUUUAAGCUGCACUAUCAAGCUUAUUACCAAACUCCUGGCUAACAGACUUCAGUCAGUUAUACUAGAGCUAGUCCAUGUCAAUCAAUAUGGGUUUUUAAAAUCCAGAACCAUACAAGACUGCAUAGGAUGGGCUUAUGAGUAUUUGUUCCAAUGCCACAAAAGUAAGCAACCAACGGUGGUAUUUAAAUUAGACUUUGAAAAAGCUUUUGAUAAGAUGGAACAUGGCAUGAUCUUAGCAAUACUGAAGCAGAAGGGUUUUGGAACAAAAUGGUGUUCCUGGAUUAAACAGAUUUUGGAGACAGCCACCUCAUCUGUUCUUUUGAACGGGAUCCCUGGGUCACAGUUUAAAUGCAGAAGAGGUGUCAGACAAGGGGAUCCGCUAUCACCUCUUUUGUUUGUCCUAGCAGCUGAUUUCUUGCAAUCUAUUCUGAACGAUGCACAAAACAGAGGGGUCAUUACACCUCCAUUCAGCUCCACCUCUUGUCCUGACUUUCCCAUACUUCAGUAUGCAGAUGACACUUUGAUUUUUUAUGCCUGCUUGUCCCGAUCAACUUCAACAACUGCAAAGCCUAGUUCACCAAUUUUCAAAGGCCUCGGGCCUCAAGGUUAA